UGAGAGUAUUUAUCUAAUCCCAAAUUGCAGGCGAAUUUUCUUAAUGCUCAACCCAUAAAACCCCGGGAUUAAGAGAAGAAAGAGAGAGAGGAGAGGGGAGGGGGGGAGAGUAGAGAGGGAGAGACACUGAGAUGAAAGUUUCUUGUACACAGCGUAGAGGACUGAGGCGGCCGUCGCUAGGCAAAUGUCCAGGGCCCCUCUGGGAUGGUGUAAACUUGUUCAGCUCCAAAUACAACCCAGUAUCCUGCCCUGCAAUCAAGAGGACCAUUUUUUUCCAUAUGAAAAGUCUUAUGGAUAUACAACCUUCUCCUCAAACCAGUGUCAAGUUUUCAUUGCAAUGAAGUAGCAGCAGUGUUUAAGGUAAGAAAGUUUCUGCUUUUAUUGAAAAUUUAUAUAUGACUCAGAAUUGUAAUAAAUAAACAUAACCAUUUUCACAAAAAAUGACAGUGCUAUGCUAGAGAAGGAAAUAUUAAUUGGGGGAUUUACUCAUAGUGGCAAGACCGACUUUUAUCAAUACAGAAUAAAUAUUAACAGCAUUCUUGAGCCAAUGUUGAGACCCAACAAAAUUGUAGGAACCAAGCUAGAUGUAAUAAAUAAUUAUCCAGAGAAAAAGAUGGCGCAUUCUCAGAUGAUAACACUGUCUUUGUAAACUGAUGCGUGUCAAUUAGUCCCAUCCUCACAGCUCACCUUUAAAUCACAGGACUUGUCUCAGGCUAUGUUAAAGAGCCAUCCUCUGAAGAAAGCAGAGGAGAGGAGCUCUAUUAUCCUUACAGUGAAACGCAAAACAACUGCAGAAAAUCCCACUGGUAAAUAGAACACAGUUUAAUAAGUAGAUUGAAUAUGCUCUAACUAUGAAAUUUAGGUAACAGAGUCAGUGUUACACAUGGCAGGACUGGAAAAAAAUCAUUCAUGACAUUUUUCUUAUCCCCCUCUUACCCCCCUCCCACCAUCAUUAUGCUAUUAACAACAACAACAACAACAAAAAUGUUUUCAAAUUUUCCUCCCAUCAGACAAUGAGGGAAAAUAAUGCGGGAAGGGUUUUCUUUUCUUUCUUCUUUUAACAGUUUCUUGAACACUCCCAAUACCAAUCACUCACAAGGUAUCUGUGCAAAUCUAUUUCGCAUGAUUUCAAGGAAAUGAUUAACUCACAUACACAAAAAAAAUCCUUAAACAAAGCUAUUUUGGAUUUCUGUAUAUUAUCUGGAAAGGAGGGAAGAAAAGGGGUGGUGGUGGUAAAGAAGUACAAUCCAGCCAAACAAAAUGUUAAGAGUUUUAAAUCAACAACGAGUCUGACUUAUUCUGGUCUGGGGACCCAAGACUAAAAUGUUGGGAAAGAUUCUGGUCUGGCUGCUAUUGGAGAACACAUUUCUCUUCUUUCUUGGCCAUCUUGCCUUUGUUUUGCUCCAGAGUUCGCUCCAAAUGCUCAUCUUCUUCUUCGGCCCUGGAAGUCAAACAGGAAACAAAAUUAUUUUUCUUCGUGGAGGGCAGAGCAGCACCCUCUCGCCCGCAUUCUGAGCCCCAGCAGGAAUUGGGAUUGCGGGGUCAGCGGGAGGCUGCCCCGGCCCACCCGAGACCUCUGGACUGAACUUUCCGUAAACUUCUAGGCCCCUCAGCAGGCGGCAGAGCCUAGAGCCCGACCCCAAUGCCCACUCACUGCUUCUCCUGCGCGUCCAGGUCCCUGACUAGCGCGUCGCGCUUGUUCACCAGGGCCACCAGCUCAUCCAGCAGGAGUUGCUCGCGUCGCUUCUGGGCCUCGGUCUUCUGCCAGUCUGCAGAGGACGGGAGGCUCGUUACCCACCCGAAGGGCCUCCGCACACCCGGCCCCCUGCCCUCCCCUUCCCAAUUUCCUUGUAUUUCUCCACAAACCAUAUUAUAGAGUCACUAGCUAGUGUUUUAUGGAGAGUUUGGCCGUCGUGGUGCGGAUUUCACCCCUAAGACCCUACUUUCUAAAUAUUUCCCGCAGAUGGAGACGGCUACGGCUGGGCUGGAGCCUGCAAAAGUGACCAGGUGUGAGCCGGUGGCCAGCCGGAGGUGUGCGCCUGAUUUCAGCCAAAGUGGGGGAGGGAGAACUGGAGUCCUAGAAGAGGUCUGCCGGAGGCUUGGGGGGGGGGUGGUAAAUGAGGAGGCGGGAAGCAGAGAUGGGCGAUAAAAUCAUUCUGAAAAGGCUAGAGAAUCUGCUUGAGAACCUAUCCUCCUCCCCCACCCCCCUGCCCACCCCAUACAGCCCAUUCUUCGCUAAUUUCCUCUUCGCUCUAUUUUAGCAGUUGGAUGUAUCUCACACUGGGCGCCAUAUGCUUCACAAUAACUUUAAAAGUAGUGAAUCGGCUAAUUAGCAUUUUUCUUUGAAGUAAAAAAUAAAUUUGCUCUGCAAUAUUACACUGCAGCUCUCGAUCGCAUCACAGCCAGUUUUCUUUUGGAGAGGUUUGCUGGGUGGUUUCAAAUCAAAGCACUUUUGCAAAGGAAAAAUUACAUACUUCUAUUUGAAACCCUAUGUUAAAGGUUGGAAAACCCGAUGGGCAGUGCUCUUUCCUUGGGUAGGCGCAGUUUUUUGAAGGUUUUAGGCCCCAAUGAUAUAUUUCCUAAUCUUUGCUGGUCUGAUAAUUUCCUUAAGAUGAGCAGCAGUUUCGUUUAAUAAAAACAGGACCAAAUCGAACAUUUAAAGCACUUUUGAAACCAAAGCCAACUGCUCUCUGGCCAGACUGUAAGGGCUUGUAGCUGUCAAUCAAUCCCCAGUCUACCCCGCCUCCCUCAUUAGGAAGGUAAACAAUGAAAAGAAGUAGUAGAUGAUGAGGCAGAUAGCAGAACAAAUGAGGACCUAGAGGGAAACAGGACACCAGCUU